rnacentral:rRNA from 1 species
ACGGAGGGUGCAAGCGUUAAUCGGAAUUACUGGGCGUAAAGCGCACGCAGGUGGCUGAGAAAGUCGAUUGUGAAAGCCCUGGGCUUAACCUGGGAAUUGCAGUCGAAACUACUCGGCUAGAGUAUGGGAGAGGGUAGUGGAAUUCCCGGUGUAGCGGUGAAAUGCGUAGAUAUCCGGAGGAACACCAGGGGCGAAGGCGGCCGACUGGCCGAGUGCUGACGCUGAGGCGCGACGGCGUGGGGAGCAAACCGGA